GGGGAGCAGCACCAAGAUAAAGAGGGUUGGCAGGGGGUGUGAGAGUGUCCUCAGGCUCCAACCUCAGGAACCAGCUCAGAACCAAGGCCAAGGGAGAGAGGUUGCUCCUUACCUACUGAGCAGCAAUGCUUGAGUCUCCACCUUCCUCCCAGUCUGGAGGGCAGGGAGCCUGAGACCUGUGACUGACUGAUGUGCCCACUGAUGGUGCCCUAAGAAUUGGGGUCAGUCUGGUGGACAGGACGGGGCCCUGGAGGAUAUGGCUGGUUAGGUCAGGGGAACCUGGCCACGCCCUUCUCUGGCAGCUCCCUCCCUGGAAGCACGCCCCACCCUCUUCAAGGCCCAGCCUCUGCCCCAGGUGACCCCUGUAUUUAGUGCAUAAGCAUAGGGAGUCACGUGACUGCCUCACACUGCCGCCCUCCAGAACCAGAGGAAGGUGAAGACUGGAGUUCCCAUUCCACAGGUGACCCCAGCCUGGAGUGCUGUUACCCAGUGAUUCUGGACAGCGGGAGGCUGCCAUUGGGCUCUGCCUGGGGUCCGCAGGACAGCAGUUGUGUGUUCCUCCGCAGUGCCCACAACCCAGACACAGGGACCUCAGCAUGUGCAACACUGGAAUUUGCCGAGGACAGAAACAUUUUUGGCCACAGGAUCUGGUAACUUUUCACAUGAUCUCUUCCUCCUGUCUCAUUUCUCUAAAAAGGCAAACCUUGUUUUCCUGAGAAGUGUCUCAGGUAACGAUUGGUAAGCAGAAUCUGAAUUCCAAACUGCUGGUACCCAAUACAUUGCUUCCGAUGCACACACCUGUGUAUUACUGAAGAGCCGCUCUACAAGGCCUUUACCACCCCCACAAUACCUUGCCCACUUUUUCAAAAUUUUGAGACAAGGUCCCAUGCACCAAGUAGUACCAAGGCUGAGCUUGAGCUUUUGACUUUGUUUCAGUCUCUUGCACAGGUAAGGUUACCAGCAUGCACCACUGCAAGCCAGUAUGUCACGGAAUUUUAUGACAAACUUGUCAGAGCGAGUGUUAAAGAGUGGACCGAGGGAGAACUGGAUCUUGGAGUAGGUGGGCAGGAAAUUUCAGUAACUCCUUCUGCAGAGUGCUAUACAAACCUCUCCUGCUACAUGCAAUCUUUCUCGCUUGAAAUCCAAAAUACAGGUUAGGAUUUAGGUGCUGGGCUCAGCCAGUGAGAGCCAACACUUGCAGUGUCCAGCCAAAGAUAAACUUCCAGAGCAGGAAGACAGGGCCAGAACAGAGCUAGGGGUCCCUCUGGUGGAGACAUCCAGAAAUUCACUAAGGAUGCUACUCCAGCCUCCAGAACGCACAGUUCUCAGCUGUUCUCUGCUUGUUAGUAUCUAACCACUGACACACAGCAGCCCAAACAAGGAACCUCGGUAUACAUCACUGGUGGUGAACCUGUGGCACGCGUGCUGCAGCCAGCUGUUAUCACUGCAUGCUCUAAAAGGGUCCGCAUCACUCGUCUACGUGAACACAGGGUUAUUUUGCUUUAUCUCAUCCCCAUGGUGGUGUUCUACAGAGCUUUGACAAUGCCUUGGAACCACUGUCCAGUAAAACUCCACUAAUUCCUGGAGCUCCUGCUCCAGUCUCCCACCUUGUGGCACCAGUUUCAAGGCAGUAAUUCCUUUGGAAGCAGAGUGACAGUGAACACAGGUGAGUGAGACCCCUCGGCAGCUGACAGGCUUUCUGAGUUCAAAGACCUCUUACCAGCCUGGCGGUGAGGGCACCCAUCCUCUCCUGUCCCAACAGACUUGUGUUGGUUCCUUUGCAUACCCCAGCUUUUUGCCCUUUGGUGCUGGGGAUGGAACCCAAGGCCUUGCCUUGAGAGGCCACUGCUCACCAGAGCUGCAGCCCAGCCCCACCUGGCUUCUGAGGCCUCCGGCAGCUGCCUUCGUGGCCUGCCCUUCCCUGGACUAAACAGGCUCCAAGCAUAAGCCUUGCAAAGAGCAGCAGCAAACCUGCGAGCAGUCUCCAUUCUGCAACAGCCUCUGGCUGAUUCAGACAGGGCAGGACCCGGGGCUGCAGCACACAUCCCUUUGACUCUGUCCCCUGCUGUCUUCUUUCUGCAGAGACCUCUGGCCCUCAGCACACCUGCUGCCCCUCUGCAGGUCCUGCACAGAGGUUUGUGCAACAAAAGCUCACUGCCAUCCUCCCUCCUCUUCUUCCCCCGCACACUCCUGGGCGUACACCAGACUAAUGGGGGGGGGGGCUGCAAGGGCAGUGCUCCUCGAGAGGCCACGGGACCCAGAACUCACUGAUGCCUGUCAGUAAUCACCACACAGUGAAACACAAGCAGGGUCACCAUAAAAAUAUAAUUUGGCUUUCAGAGAACAGAAGUUUACAUGCACACGGUCUGUGUCCACAUACUUUACCUGGGAACCUCAGUGCUACCUCUUUUUAUUAUAACUCAACACAAAAUACCCAGAGAUGCACAGUAGAAAUUUCAAGUAGUCUUACAAAAGUGACAAUAUAAAGAAAUGACUAUGGAUUCAGGUUUCCGAACAAUUUUACCUUAAAUCCAUCUAGUAUUAAAGCAACAGUGUAUCAAAAUGUUUAUUUGAUCCAAUUAUAUGUUAGAAUUGUAUGAAAAAAACUGAAGAAAUCCUAAUUAUCCAUAUCGUGUAGCAGGUAACUAUUAGCGUUAAAAUCAGUUUGAUCUUUAAGUACAGUCAAUAAAAUUUUAUGUGUUGACUGAAACUUUUAUUUUGGGGAACAAAAUAUUUUCUAUUUCAGGAAAGAGAAUAAACAUUAAUUUGAUCUUCAAGCUCAUUUUUUAAAGCUGAAAGCACUCGAAGUAUUUCUGCUAAUCUGAAGCUACUUUUGGCCCACUGCUAACUUGUAAAAUAUCUUAAUAACAAGCAAUGUGAUUUAAGGUCUUUUUUUGUCUAUGGAAUCCUCAUAUUUUUGUAACCUUAUACCAAAGCAAUAAGGCAAGAAAGCAGUUCUUUUUCCAGUUCUGACAAAGACAGUGUCUACCCACUUCAAAAUUCAGGGGCUAGAACCACUGCAAACGAUCCCAGUAGGAAAUUAAGGCUCCUGUGAUUUUUCUUUAAUUUACACUAUGUAAUAGUUUAAACUAUUGCCGUGUUAUUGCCUGCGUUAUGUUGGAUUUACAAAUAUCUGGGUGUAAGUCACAGGACACAGGUACAGUAUUGCUAUUUCUGUCUAUACUUAAAAACACACGGUUUUCACAGUCACCUUUGAUGAGUUUUAAGACAAAGUAAGAAAAUACUAAACCAAGCUGAAAGAAUAGGACUGCCAUAAGGAUACCCGCCCGAGGUGACCAGCAGGUGCUAUGACCCCUACUGCCCCCGGGACGUGGAAAUGCUGGCCAGGCAGUGAGGCUGGCACAAGGUGGUGCUUUCUACACUCCGGAGGACUUGGUGGACACCAGCCAGGGUCUGUCCUGGGUGUGCAGCAUCCUCCUUUAAGGCUAAAAAGCUCACACCCCCCAGCUUGCACAAGAUUUCCUACAGUCAUUUCUAGCACGAAAGGGACCCACCUUUGCAGUGGGAAGCUACCAGGGUAAGCACCGUGGUUUAGCCUGAACGAGGUACAGACAAGCUCUUGGAGCUCUGGGGAGAGAUUUCAGUGGCGAUGCUGAAUGGGUGCCACUGCAGCGUCCUUUCAGAUCAUUAGAGCAAGUUGUGCAAAGAACUAUUUGAUUGCCAGGAUACACAGCCAAGUAUAUACUGAACCAGUUACAAAGUGUGCAGGCUGACGGUGGGAGACGCGCAGCAAACACACCUCUGACUGUUGAAUUCACACUCUGCUGUCACUGGUGGAUGAAGUCAAAGCUUGGGGUCAAGUACAGCAAGUUGGUGUCACAAGUCCCGAUGACCAGGUAGGGAAAUAGAACCUAGAGAUUUUAUUUUUUAGUGCGUGGUCAAGUUUGCCCUAGGUUCUAGGUAAGGUUAUCUGUCCCCUCCUCCAACCAUUUUGAUUUGUGCAGAACAUACACUUACAUUUCUAUCAAUAAUGCAGAGGAAAGAACCACGAAACUUUGUUUUAAAGGGGUAUAAUAGGUUUCAAUAAGUAAAAAGAGUUUAGUUAAGAGAGAACUGGGCAAAAAGGGACAAUUUUCAGAGGCUGGGGAUAUAGAUUGGUGGCAAAAUGCACAAUUUUCCAGUUUAGUUUCUAGAAGCUGAGAAGGAAAAAUAAUAAUGUAUAAAAGGAUUUAAGGAUAACUUUUCAAAUUGCUUUCCCUCUUUAACAUUACUUGACUUAUAAAAGACGUAAGAAAUCUGAGCUGUAGCUGUCUUUGUGGAGCACGCAAGCCUGGGUUUUCAAGGAGAGCGCACAGUUCCGCAGGCAUGUGCAGGGCAGGGCUGGCUUUGCUGGCUCCACUGAGCAGCCUCAGCGCCCAGUAGGUCACUGCGUGAUGCAACCAGGAGUCUCCGGAAACACUUAGCAGGCGCUUUGGGCUCCACCGAGAUUGGGACGCAAGCAGGAACAACUCCCUCCGCAGCCCACCGAAACAUUUUAGGGAAACAGUCUGUCUGCAUUGAGCCUAAACAUUCAGCUGAACACUGAGGACCAUUCUCAGAAAACCCAAGUCCAAAGUCUCUCUUCUCGUGAUCUACUGGCACUGCCGCACCUGGCUGGUGACUUCCGCGGGCCGGGCUGGUCUGGGCGCCUAGAUGAGGGCCCGCAGCUCUCCGUCGGUGAGCUCGUUCACCUCCAUGAUCUUCUCCAGGUGCUCCAUGUAGCGCUCGUGGUCCUGCAGGAAGUGCGGGACCCGCAUGUUCUCGGUGACCGCCAGGCCUUUCAGGCGAUCCACGUCUUCGAAAGAGACCUGGAAAAGGGGGACAGUUUAAAACCUAUGAUUUAUAUUUAGGGUGGAUUUCUGCCCUGGGUUCUAAAAGGUAGCAGCAUACGGACUAUUUUCAAUUACUGUUUGUUUCUGUUUUUUGAGAUAGUGCCGCACUAUGUAGCUCAGGCUGGCCUUGAACUCACUUGGUGGCCUCCCACUCAGGGCCAUCCUCCUGCUCUGCCUUUAGUGCUGGGAUUACAGGUGUGUGCCACCAAGCCCAGCCUCACAUUACUUCAGGAGCUGCAAACACCACAGCUCCGUGGCUUGCUUUUUUCUUUAUUAUGUUAAAUAAGAACUCAUUUGCCUCCUGGUGCCAUGACCAUAUUAAAAGACUACUGCAGGUCACUGUUUGAUUUAACUCUCAACCUUGGCAUAAAUCAGUGUUUAAAAAGUAGGCAACUAACCAUGUGUGUGUGUGACUUUGAAUGCAAAUGAAACUUCCACUAAAUCAAAGAAAGAUAAUAGACUGUUAAACUAGCACCAUUAUUCCUGUUUCUGUUUAACUUGAGAAACAAUGAUUCGUAAUUGUAUUCUUAUUUUUCACAGUUAUUUGUGUUAGGUUUAGUAGUAAAGCUUUUCAGUUCUAUAAAUUAUCUUUUUCAUCUUUUAUCUGUUUCAUCAAAACAUGGUUGAUUGCAGUAAAAGGCAAAAGAUUUAUACAGUCUGAAGAGAAACCAAAAGUGGUUGCUUCUCAAUGCUUCUGUCUCCUGACCAACGUUCUCCCAGGGUCAGUUGAAGAAGAAAUCAUGUUCAUAUGACCCUACUGUCCUGAAAAUAAGUCCCAGUUAAGCUCACCAUCCAGGUGCAUUUAGGAGAUCCGCUACAACACAUGGGGUAUACUGAAUUAUAAAAUAGUAUUAAUAUAUAUGACUAAAUAGGAAUAUUCACACUAAUGCUUAAAUAAUGCAAAUUGUAAUUAAGUGUUUGUGAACACCCCAGACGAUGCCUUGUCCAACAGGUCAACACCUAGGCAAACAGAGAAAUCUGAGACUUACUCCUGAGUGAUUGCAGUGCAGAGACAGUGCACUGACAGCCUGUACAUUUGAUCGCAAGUGGACAUGGCUGUGUCUCCUGUAAGUCCUCCUACUUCAGUACGUCUGUCAUGGGCAUACUUAAUGUACUCCUGUGAAGUAAACAAGUCUUGGUGCCUGCAGUUUGUCCCUGCUUUUGUGUGGACCAUCGAUCGUAACUGUCAUCAUUUUUGCUGCCACUUCUGUCUCACAAGUCUUCAGUUAACACUUCACCUAUUGGAAACUUUGUGAAGCCCGGCCUGCGGGACGUCCUGACUCGGGUGACGAAUUCAUGAGAUAGAAUCUCUGACUGCUGGGUUGCCAGUGCACUGCUUGUCCUUGUCACUACAGGUUACACGACCAGGAAGCACUCAGGGAAGGAGAGCGUGAUUGCUGGACCUGAGAGGCUGGGAAAUGGAGCCACAAGAGAUUCAGGCUGGAAUUAGGGUUUGGAGUUGUGGUAGUGUUCCAGAAGACCGUGACAUGACUGCAUUUGAGUAAGUACAGGUUUUCACACACGAAUAAAUCAAUAAAAACAGGAUGCUGUUCAUGAGAAAGAUGAGACAUCUCUGAAUCAAAGCUCUCUUGUGUCUUUUGGACCAAAAAUUACUGUAAGACCUGGUCUUGUUUCUAGGGAAUGUGCACAACCAUAUCUUUCUGUUAGGUUUAGUAGUAAAGCCCCUGUGUUUCUUCUCUCAUGUCCACCUUGUUGUGUUUUUAUUAUUAUUAAAAUCACGCAAUUACUAUUUACACCCAUAAUCGUAAUGAAAGCAGGUUGGCGGACACUGGCGUGGCUUGGUCACCCUAACCCACCCUGUCUGUGAGGAGAGACGGGACAGGCACAGCUAGCCUCUGCUGUGGUCCACCACAUCAUUUUUAUAGUUGAAGGAAAGUGACCGGAUCAGUGCCAGUUUGCCAACAGCAGGAGCUCACUUCCUGUCUCUGUGCCGCACUUAGUAAUCUCUCGCAGUACUGCCACCUUUUCCUCAUCACCGCAUUGCUCUGCUGACCUGCACAGCUGCUCUCCCUGCUGUGUCAGGUGAUGAGCUACGCUGCCUGCCCUCGUACGCACGCGGCACUCAGGUCCUGCUUCCCAAACACCAUCACCCACCAAGGCCACCAAGGCUUCACCGAGGAAAUAGCUAAUCUCAGGUUUGCACAGGAGAUGUGAACCUGAACCCAGGACAUUUUACUAUGUCAGAAAUCAUGGACACGUAUUUUUAUAAAAUUGGUGCAGCCACGAAAGAGUUGAAUGGAAAGGAGUGAGCCCAUGAUAGUACUGCAGGAAAGGGGGACGUGAGAGAAGAAACAAGGAAACCAGCUCUCUCCUUUGUUACCUGCAGUGCAGAACCUGACUGGGCGCCGGUCCCCUGUGGGUGCUCAAAGACCGCUGCUUCCCUGGCCCAUGUGUAGGACUCACCCACGGACAGCUCACCAGCACAAGGGCAAGAGAGGCCUGGAGAUUUGGUGUCACUAAUUUACCCAAGGAUCUAGCAAAGCUUCCCCAGCAAUGGUGCAAAAUGCCUUGGGGCUUUCUAUGUGUCACAACAGGAAAUAUACACCCCCUGGGGCAAAGAGCUGUCACCUGAAUCACAUCACAAGAAAACAAUAUGAUAAUCUAGACUAUCGGAAUUUUGAAGGAAACUGUCCUGAACUCUUAAAAAUGUCAUAAAAAAAGAACGUGCAGAGGACUGCUGUAGAUUAAAAGAGAUGAAGUAUAACCAAAGGCAAUACAUUUUGAUUGGAUCUAGAAUCACAAGUGAUGCAAAGACUAUUCUGGAGAAAUUAAAGUGAUUAUAUUUUGAAUGUUAGAUUAGGCCAGGCGUGGUGGCUCACACCUGUAAUUCCAACAUUUGGAAGGCUGAGGCAAGAAAAUUGCCACAAAUUCAAGAAAAAUGACUGAACAAAUGAAAAAUUUCUUUUAAAAAUUGGUCUUUGGCAAGCGCAAGGUCCUGAUUUCUAUUCCCAGUACCAAAAGGAAAUUGUAUGGUCAUGUCUGAGGAUAUCCUCCAGCUUGGAGGCACUAAGUGGGAAAUGUUAUAGUUUUAAAAUGCUUUUAGAAGGACAUGCUGCUUAGAAAAAGCAGAUAUAAAAAUAAAACUAUGCAUAGUCCCAAAUUGUCUACUUUCUCUGUUAUUCACCACCAAGAAAUCUUUGACAGAACCAUGUAUUUGUCUUCCGUUAUCACGUAAAUGAUCUUGUUCCAGCGAUAACGGGAGCGUGUGACUUGAGUCUCAGCUCCCAGGGCAGCUGCCUGGUGAGUGGCGACCGCGCCAUGGGCUUCCUCACCUUCCCCAGCGCCGUCAGGAGAUGAAAGUCUAUGGACUCUCGGUAUCGGAGGAUUUGAAGGAUGCCAUCCAGGUAGACUUGGUCUUUACUGAAACACCCUGAAAGAAGCACAAAGGUUUACUUUCUGAUAUUUAAAAAAUUACUAAGAAUCUAGAUGCUGAUCCAGUUCCUUUUACUGUAGGGACACACCUGCAGAAUAAUUACUCUGAUGGGGGCUAGGGUGCAGCUAGUGGUGAAGCCCUUGCCUAGCAUGCAUAGGGCUCUGGGUUCCGUUCUCCACACUUCCAGGAAAAAAUCCAGUUUGCCAAUGUUUGUUUAUAGUAACAAAAAAACUGUGAAGUCUUGGGAAAGCCAGAACACCAUACAGACUUGUAGUUUCCCUUCCCCACGCUCCUUCUUAACCUGGCAGUUUAAAAUCUGUGGCUUUCAUGAUCCUGCGCCCAUACUGACCGGUCUAACCUGGGCUCCCGGGGUGGGAGACGGCACCAGGCAGCCGGGAAGGGAGUUUUGGAGCAGUUAAGGUCUCAACAAAGGCCCAGGUGCAGACAGAGUUUAGGAAGUUUUCCUUUUGUAUUUUUCUACCUUUUUGUUGUUGUUUUUAAUAACAGACCUCUGCCCUCAAAAAAAGAAGCUAUAGUUUAGAAACAAAUCUAGGUUAUUUCCAGACUGUGCUCCUCUGUGAAAGUAAGAUUUAGAACUGGAUUUUAAAGACUAUGUAGGGUUAGGAAUAGAAAAAAUAUGAAUUCAUGAAAAGUAGGAAAAGCUCAAGAAAUCUGAGACUAUUAAAAAAAAGAUGAUGAAAACCAUUUUUCUCCAUCUGUUUUUUUUUUUUUUUGUCUUUUUCAUUUUUUAUCGGUACCGGGGAUCGAACUCACGACUGCCUGCCUGCUUUCAAGGCAGGCACUUAUGCCGCUGAGCUAAAUCUCCAGCCCCCAUUUUUCUCAUCUUGACAUAAAUUCAGUCUUUAAAAUUAUUUGCUUGCAUUUACUAAGUGGACUGAAGUUGUACCACACAGUCCUACAUGGAGGCAGUUAUCAUUCUGUUAGGUAAAGCGACUAACAUGGGCGUUGUGAGAAAUGUCGGCAAGAGAUACACACUACAAUGUCCUUGGUCACGGUGCUGAAACUGUUCUUAUGAUACUGUAGGAAAGCAGGAUCUUGGAAGACUAGGUGAACCGCUUAGUGACAGCAAAGAGUACUAAGAUCAGGCUCAGCAUAUUACUUGUUUUUACGUACAUUUAAAAAUUUCCAAAAUACAGCAACCUAUUCAGGAGCUAUUCCUAUUCCCCCUUACCUCUAUUCCCUAAUGAAUUCUCUUACUCUUAAAAAAAAAAAGAAAUUUUCCACAAUAAAAAGCUAAAAAAGAUGUGUAUGAAGCAACAGACUAGUCUAAAAGGCACCUGCUUGGGGCUGGGGAUUUAGCUCAGUGGCAUAAGCACCUGCCUUGCAAGCGCACGGUCCUGAGUUUGAUCCCUGGUACCAAUAAAAAAAAAAAAAAAGGCACCUGCUUUCAUGGGGUAACCGGCAACCCUGGGCACUGAAACAGAGUGAGCUAGGCAUGGUGGCACACACCUGUAAUCCCAGCACUCCAGGAGGCUGAGGCAAGAGGAGCUCAAGUUCAAGCCCAGUCUGGGUAAUUUAGUAUCUUAAUGAAUACUUGUUUCAAAAGGGGGUGGGGAUACAGCUCAGUGGGAAGGCCCUAGAUUCAGUCUCCAGUAAUGCAGAAGAUCUAAAAAGCAGACAGGAAACAACACUUUAUCAGGAGCCCACCCUGGAGGCAGCUGUGCACACCUGAAACCAGGGGACAGAUGACCGACCACCUGAUUCCAGUCUUGCCAGAUCCCUGCUUUUGACAAAACCACCAUUGCCUGAGUGCUUCCAAGCUCUAAGAUGGCUUUUAAACAGUUCCUAAUUUUUAUCCUUUUCUUUUCAAAAACAGUUUUAUACUGGAAUUAUGGUUUGAUCCAAGAGGUCCCCCCGUGGAUUAGCCCACUGAACAGUGUACACCUGAAUGGCACACCGGGAGCUCUCUCUGCUUCCUGCCUGUCACGCCAUGGACUGUUCCUCCUCUGCCAUGCUGCCUUGCCUUGGAACCAGCCAACGGUGGACUGAAACCUCUUCAGACUGAGCCAAUAUAAACCUCUCUCCUUUAACUUGUGGGUGUCCGGCACUUGGUCCUAACAAUGAGAAAGUAAGACGGGGCACAGUCUGGAGGGCCUGCCGAUCACUCUCUGCCUCCUGCCUCUCAAGAGCAGCCUCCUCCGCCAUGGCAUCUGCCUUGCAGCCAGCUGAGUAUGAGCUCAAACUUCUACAAACUUCUAUAAACCUUUCCUCCUUAGAGCUGUGUCAGGUAUUAUGUCUAGAAGUAACUAUAACAAUUGUCAUAGACUUUUGUGUAUCUUGUUCAAAAUAAAGGAAAACAAAAAAUUCUGUGGGCUGUCUGACAUCUUUAGGCUACUGACAAAAAUUUUAUACUUUCUAUUACCAAAACAAGUGCAUCUACAGAGACUAACCGUGAGAACCGCUCAAGGUGGUUGCUCAGAGGUGGGGGGGGGGAGGAAGGCAGACUGCUAACGGGGUGAUAAAGGGGUGAACUGCGUGGCAUGUGAAUUACAUGUCAGGAAAUCUGUUUUUUAAAAGCUGGAGAGAAAGUAAAAAUGGCAAAAUUAAAAACUGGUGAAUCUUGAUAAAGGAGUAUAUGAACAUUAUUAGACUAUAAAUUUUCAAAAUGAGCUGUACAACAAUGCUGAGAAAGAGUGGUUUGGAAAACAAAGGUUUCCUUUGUCACAGAUGAGUGAGUCCUCAGAUUUCAUAAUUAGACUGUGACCUGCACCCCACGCUAACCAGCCCGGACUAGGGAACCCAGGUCAGGGGCGCCCACCUGGCU